CACAGUCAUCUUAUAUUUCAAGAUUAAUCAAUCUACACAAAAGAGGUUACUUUGGCAACAUAAUGCUUCAAUUGACUAAUUUAAAAUAUUAGAUGCUAAUUCAUAUAGUUCCUUACGCCAUAUAUUGAAUCUUAACUGAAAAUUUACAUGUUUUGACAUGUAACAUCUGAAUAUUAAUUGUUUUAAACUUAAUUAGAUAAUACCAAAAUCUGAAGC
rnacentral:lncRNA from 1 species